CGUAGUCGAUGGGAAACAGGUUAAUAUUCCUGUACUUGGUGUUACUGCGAAGGGGGGACGGAGAAGGCUAUGUUGGCCGGGCGACGGUUGUCCCGGUUUAAGCGUGUAGGCUGGUUUUCCAGGCAAAUCCGGAAAACCAAGGCUGAGGCGUGAUGACGAGGCACUACGGUGCUGAAGCGACAAAUGCCCUGCUUCCAGGAAAAGCCUCUAAGCAUCAGGUAACAUCAAAUCGUACCCCAAACCGACACAGGUGGUCAGGUAGAGAAUACCAAGGCGCUUGAGAGAACUCGGGUGAAGGAACUAGGCAAAAUGGUGCCGUAACUUCGGGAGAAGGCACGCUGAUAUGUAGGUGAAGCGACUUGCUCGUGGAGCUGAAAUCAGUCGAAGAUACCAGCUGGCUGCAACUGUUUAUUAAAAACACAGCACUGUGCAAACACGAAAGUGGACGUAUACGGUGUGACGCCUGCCCGGUGCCGGAAGGUUAAUUGAUGGGGUUAGCGGCAACGCGAAGCUCUUGAUCGAAGCCCCGGUAAACGGCGGCCGUAACUAUAACGGUCCUAAGGUAGCGAAAUUCCUUGUCGGGUAAGUUCCGACCUGCACGAAUGGCGUAAUGAUGGCCAGGCUGUCUCCACCCGAGACUCAGUGAAAUUGAACUCGCUGUGAAGAUGCAGUGUACCCGCGGCAAGACGGAAAGACCCCGUGAACCUUUACUAUAGCUUGACACUGAACAUUGAGCCUUGAUGUGUAGGAUAGGUGGGAGGCUUUGAAGUGUGGACGCCAGUCUGCAUGGAGCCGACCUUGAAAUACCACCCUUUAAUGUUUGAUGUUCUAACGUUGGCCCCUAAUCGGGGUUGCGGACAGUGUCUGGUGGGUAGUUUGACUGGGGCGGUCUCCUCCUAAAGAGUAACGGAGGAGCACGAAGGUUGGCUAAUCCUGGUCGGACAUCAGGAGGUUAGUGCAAUGGCAUAAGCCAGCUUGACUGCGAGCGUGACGGCGCGAGCAGGUGCGAAAGCAGGUCAUAGUGAUCCGGUGGUUCUGAAUGGAAGGGCCAUCGCUCAACGGAUAAAAGGUACUCCGGGGAUAACAGGCUGAUACCGCCCAAGAGUUCAUAUCGACGGCGGUGUUUGGCACCUCGAUGUCGGCUCAUCACAUCCUGGGGCUGAAGUAGGUCCCAAGGGUAUGGCUGUUCGCCAUUUAAAGUGGUACGCGAGCUGGGUUUAGAACGUCGUGAGACAGUUCGGUCCCUAUCUGCCGUGGGCGCUGGAGAACUGAGGGGGGCUGCUCCUAGUACGAGAGGACCGGAGUGGACGCAUCACUGGUGUUCGGGUUGUCAUGCCAAUGGCACUGCCCGGUAGCUAAAUGCGGAAGAGAUAAGUGCUGAAAGCAUCUAAGCACGAAACUUGCCCCGAGAUGAGUUCUCCCUGAGACUUAGAGUCUCCUGAAGGAACGUUGAAGACGACGACGUUGAUAGGCCGGGUGU
rnacentral:rRNA from 1 species